GUUGACCUCGGAUCAGGUAGGACUACCCGCUGAACUUAAGCAUAUCAAUAAGCGGAGGAAAAGAAACCAACAGGGAUUGCCCCAGUAACGGCGAGUGAAGCGGCAACAGCUCAAAUUUGAAAUCUGGCCCCAGGCCCGAGUUGUAAUUUGCAGAGGAUGCUUUUGGCGCGGUGCCUUCCGAGUUCCCUGGAACGGGACGCCAUAGAGGGUGAGAGCCCCGUACGGUUGGACACCAAGCCUUUGUAAAGCUCCUUCGACGAGUCGAGUAGUUUGGGAAUGCUGCUCUAAAUGGGAGGUACAUUUCUUCUAAAGCUAAAUAUUGGCCAGAGACCGAUAGCGCACAAGUAGAGUGAUCGAAAGAUGAAAAGCACUUUGAAAAGAGGGUUAAACAGCACGUGAAAUUGUUAAAAGGGAAGCGCUUGUGACCAGACUUGCGUCCGGUGAAUCACCCAGCUCUCGCGGCUGGGGCACUUCGCCGGCACAGGCCAGCAUCAGCUUGCCGUCGGGGACAAAAGCUUCAGGAACGUGGCUCCUCUCGGGGAGUGUUAUAGCCUGUUGCAUAAUACCCUUCGGCGGGCUGAGGUACGCGCUCCGCAAGGAUGCUGGCGUAAUGGUCAUCAGCGAC
rnacentral:rRNA from 4 species